AUCAGGCGAGGAUGCCGAAAAGGAUAAGAACUCAGGACGAGGGUCAGGAGCGCCAGGAGGCGAGGACGAAGGAAUUGCCAGGAGGCAAACGUCUGGAGACGUCGGAAAAGGAUCAGGAAGACGACAUGGAGUGUUCUGCGCCAAGGGAAAAACAGGGUGAGUUGGUGGCAAACAGGGAUUGUCAGACCCGUAAUGGGUUGUGAGUCAGGAAAAAAGGCGACAGAUUACUCUGUCGCCUUUUUUCUUUGUCUGCUU
rnacentral:sRNA from 1 species